UCUCUGAUGGUCCAAUGGCUGGGACUUUGCACUCCCAAUGCAGGAGCCCAAGUUCAAUUCCUAGUCAGUGGA
rnacentral:tRNA from 1 species